UACGGGGGUGCAAGCGUUGUUCGGAUUUACUGGGCGUAAAGGGCGCGUAGGCGGCCACCGCAAGUCGACUGUGAAAUCUCCGGGCUUAACCCGGAAAGGUCAGCCGAUACUGCGGGGCUAGAGUGCAGAAGGGGCAACUGGAAUUCUCGGUGUAGCGGUGAAAUGCGUAGAUAUGCGGAGGAACACCAAUGGCGAAGGCAAUCCCCUGGGCCUGUACUGACGCUCAUGCACGAAAGCGUGGGGAGCAAACAGG
rnacentral:rRNA from 1 species